CCCCUCACUUGGUCGCACCUGGAGAGUUUCCGGUACUCUACCAGACUUGACUACAGGAGGGAGAGUCAAGCAGAGGCUUAUCCAUUCCAUUCCUAGCUUGGCCAGUGGCUAGCGAGUGGAAGGCAAUCUGCUAUAUGU